rnacentral:rRNA from 1 species
CGGAGGAUCCAAGCGUUAUCCGGAAUCAUUGGGUUUAAAGGGUCCGUAGGCGGUUUAGUAAGUCAGUGGUGAAAGCCCAUCGCUCAACGGUGGAACGGCCAUUGAUACUGCUAGACUUGAAUUAUUAGGAAGUAACUAGAAUAUGUAGUGUAGCGGUGAAAUGCUUAGGGAUUACAUGGAAUACCAAUUGCGAAGGCAGGUUACUACUAAUGGAUUGACGCUGAUGGACGAAAGCGUGGGUAGCGAACAGGAUUAGAUACCCUGGUAGUCCACGCCGUAAACGAUGGAUACUAGCUGUUGGGAGCGAUCUCAGUGGCUAAGCGAAAGUGAUAAGUAUCCCACCUGGGGAGUACGUUCGCAAGAAUG